rnacentral:rRNA from 1 species
GGGCCCGCACAAGCGGUGGAGUAUGUGGUUUAAUUCGAUGCAACGCGAAGAACCUUACCAGGGUUUGACAUCCUGCGAAUCUCUUGGAAACAGGAGAGUGCCUUCGGGAACGCAGUGACAGGUGGUGCAUGGCUGUCGUCAGCUCGUGUCGUGAGAUGUUGGGUUAAGUCCCGCAACGAGCGCAACCCACGUCUUUAGUUGCCAGCAUUUAGUUGGGCACUCUAGAGAGACUGCCGGUGAUAAACCGGAGGAAGGCGGGGAUGACGUCAAGUCCUCAUGGCCCUUAUGGGCUGGGCUACACACGUGCUACAAUGGCAGUGACAGAGGGACGCUACCAGGUGACUGGAUGCAAAUCUCAAAAAGCUGUCUCAGUUCGGAUUGUUGUCUGCAACUCGACAACAUG